AAUUUUUUAUGGUGAAUCAUGAUAACUUUACGAAUCGCAUGGUCUUGUACUGGCGAUAGUUCAUUCAAAUAUCUGCCCUAUCAACUUUCGAUGGUAGUAUAGAGGACUACCAUGGUGGUAACGGGUAACGGAGAAUCAGGGUUUGAUUCCGGAGAAGGAGCCUGAGAAACGGCUACUACUUCCAAGGAAGGCAGCAGGCGCGCAAAUUGCCCAAUCCCGACACGGGGAGGUAGUGACAAAAAAUASCAAUSCCGGUCUUAUUUAAGUCUGGUAAUUGGAAUGAGUACAAUCUAAAACCUUUAACGAGUAUCAAUUGGAGGGCAAGUCUGGUGCCAGCAGCCGCGGUAAUUCCAGCUCCAAUAGCAUAUAUUAAAGUUGUUGCAGUUAAAAAGCUCGUAGUUGGAUUUUGAUGUUACUUUUCAUAACCUGCCUUGUAUAAGGUAUGUUUGUUGUGAUUUGUACAUCUCCUUACUAGACUUUCAUGAUUGCACUUAAUUGAGUGAUCAUUUCAUUCUGAUUUAUUGGGGUGAGUGAUGAGUAGACCUACUGGGUUCGAGAUUGUGGAUGAACUUCUUUGGAGGUUGGUUCUGCUUGGGUUCAGUAACUACUCAUUAGAAAUCGAGUUCAUUUACUUUGAGUAAAUUAGAGUGUUCAAGGCAAGCAAAUUUGUUUCUGCAAUGAAUACUAUUAGCAUGGGAUAAUGGAACAGGACACGUAUUCUAGUUUUCCGUUGGUUUCUAGAAUUUUUAGUCGUUCUUCGGAACGGCGAAGUGUAAUGAUUAAAAGGGACAGUUGGGGGCAUUCGUAUUUCAUUGUCAGAGGUGAAAUUCUUGGAUUUAUGAAAGACGAACUUCUGCGAAAGCAUUUGUCAAAGAUGUUUUCAUUAAUCAAGAACGAAAGUUAGGGGAUCGAAGACGAUCAGAUACCGUCGUAGUCUUAACCAUAAACUAUGCCGACCCAGGGAUUGGAAGAUGUAUUAUCCUAUUUUAACGUUGGAA
rnacentral:rRNA from 1 species